UACGGAGGAUGCAAGCGUUAUCCGGAAUUAUUGGGCGUAAAGCGUCCGUAGGCGGUUUCAAAAGUCUGUUGUUAAAGCCCACAGCUCAACUGUGGAUCGGCAAUGGAAACUGUGAGACUAGAGAGUGGUAGGGGAGAUUGGAAUUCCUGGUGUAGCGGUGGAAUGCGCAGAUAUCAGGAGGAACACCAAUGGCGAAGGCAGAUCUCUGGGCCGUAACUGACGCUGAGGAGCGAAAGCAUGGGGAGCGAACAGG
rnacentral:rRNA from 1 species